CCUACGGGAGGCAGCAGUGAGGAAUAUUGGUCAAUGGCCGUAAGGCUGAACCAGCCAAGUAGCGUGAGGGAAGACUGCCCUAUGGGUUGUAAACCUCUUUUAUGCGGGGAUAAAGGUGUCCACGUGUGGCUGUUUGUAGGUACCGUAUGAAUAAGGACCGGCUAAUUCCGUGCCAGCAGCCGCGGUAAUACGGAGGGUCCGGGCGUUAUCCGGAUUUAUUGGGUUUAAAGGGAGCGUAGGCGGGUCUUUAAGCGUGCCGUGAAAUUUUGUGGCUCAACCGUGAGAUUGCGGGUGGUACUGGCAGCCUUGAGUGCGCGUGAGGCAGGCGGAAUUCGUGGUGUAGCGGUGAAAUGCUUAGAUAUCACGAAGAACCCCGAUUGCGAAGGCAGCCUGCCGCAGCGUUACUGACGUUGAAGCUCGAAAGCGCGGGUAUCGAACAGGAUUAGAUACCCCUGUAGUC
rnacentral:rRNA from 1 species